GGCACCGGCCCCCGGGGGCCCCUGCGGACCGCGCGACCCACGACCCUUGCAGCCGGAUCCCACAGCCCGCAGGAUCCCACAGCCCGCCUGCUCCUUCAGUCCUCCCAGCCUCCGCCCGCUUCCUUUCACUUUCUCACCGGCCUUUCACCCUUUCCCAUUUCUUUUUCCCAGUGAAACAAGGCCCAGUCACCAGCCUAACAGCCCAGUGAGACAGCUCCUUCUGACACUUGGCCGAACUUGCCUCACAAUAUCGCCCAGUCUGACCAAAUUUGCAAUCUUCUUGCCUCAGACUUCGGCGUCACUGAGAUUACAAGGGUGUACCACCAGCUAUUUCAGUCGGCACAGACCACUUCCUCCUCUCUCUUCCUAUCAACAUAAACUUCAUGUUACCUCAGGGCUUCACGCAUAAGAAUGUGUUCUCUAACUGAGCUAUGCCCCCAACUCAAAAGGGUAUUUUUAUAAAGCUAGAGAAAGAGUGGAAAUGUGACAUCAGGCAAAGGGAGCAGCAGCCUGAAGAAGGGAG